ACACGAGUCUGAUGUAUGUUUCAGCAAAGGAAACAAAAACAUUGUCUCUUGAGGUAUUGGGAAACUGGCGAUACGUUUCAUAACAUUGAGCAGUUUUUGCACAAUAACAAGGACGAUAACAUCGUCUUCUAAGGUUUUAAAGUUUUUCCCAUAACAAGAAGGAUAAGAUCAAGAAGUAGCUACUUUUCACAACCAAAUCCUCUAUCACUGAAUUUAAUUUAAG
rnacentral:misc_RNA from 1 species